AUUGAACGCUGGCGGCAUGCCUUACACAUGCAAGUCGAACGGCAGCACGGGAGCAAUCCUAGUGGCGAGUGGCGAACGGGUGAGUAAAGUAUCUGAACGUGCCCAGUCGUGGGGGAUAACGUAGCGAAAGUUACGCUAAUACCGCAUACGAUCUAUGGAUGAAAGCGGGGGAUCGCAAGACCUUGCGCGAUUGGAGCGGCCGAUAUCAGAUUAGGUAGUUGGUGGGGUAAAGGCUCACCAAGCCGACGAUCUGUAGCUGGUCUGAGAGGACGACCAGCCACACUGGGACUGAGACACGGCCCAGACUCCUACGGGAGGCAGCAGUGGGGAAUUUUGGACAAUGGGCGAAAGCCUGAUCCAGCCAUGCCGCGUGCAGGAUGAAGGCCUUCGGGUUGUAAACUGCUUAUGUACGGAACGAAAAGGUUUGGGCUAAUAAGCUGAGCUCAUGACGGUACCGUAAGAAUAAGCACCGGCUAACUACGUGCCAGCAGCCGCCGUAA
rnacentral:rRNA from 1 species